rnacentral:rRNA from 1 species
UACCAGCACCCCGAGUGGUCGGGACGAUUAUUGGGCCUAAAGCAUCCGUAGCCGGUUCUACAAGUCUUCCGUUAAAUCCACCUGCUUACAGAUGGGCUGCGGAGGAUACUAUAGAGCUAGGAGGCGGGAGAGGCAAGCGGUACUUAGUGGGUAGGGGUAAAAUCCGUUGAUCCAUUGAAGACCACCAGUGGCGAAGGCGGCUUGCCAGAACG